UUCACUGGGAAUGGUACACCUGUGAAACCAUAAUGCAGGUGUCCUAAGGCAAGCUCAGUGAGGACAGAAACGUCCCACAAAGCAGAAGGGCAAAAGCUCGCUCGAUCUUGAUUUUCAGUACAAAUACAGACUGUGAAAGCAGUGCCUCACAAUCCUUCUGACCCUUUAGGUUUUAAGCAGGAG
rnacentral:ncRNA from 1 species